rnacentral:rRNA from 1 species
AGGAUUCCCCUAGUAACGGCGAGUGAAGCGGGAAGAGCUCAAAUUUGUAAUCUGGCACUUUCAGUGUCCGAGUUGUAAUCUCGAGAAGUGUUUUCCGCGCCGGACUGCAUACAAGUCUGUUGGAAUACAGCGUCAUAGUGGUGAGAACCCCGUAACUGAUGCAGAUGCCCGGUGCUUUGUGAUACACUUUCGAAGAGUCGAGUUGUUUGGGAAUGCAGCUCAAAUUGGGUGGUAAAUUCCAUCUAAAGCUAAAUAUUGGCGAGAGACCGAUAGCGAACAAGUACCGUGAGGGAAAGAUGAAAAGCACUUUGGAAAGAGAGUUAACAGUACGUGAAAUUGUUGGAAGGGAAACGAUUGAAGUCAGACUUGUUAUCUGGAGUUCAGCCUUUCGGUGUACUCUCCAGUUUACAGGCCAGCAUCAGUUUUCGGGGCGGGAAAAUCGUAAUUUGAAGGUAGCAGCCUAGCUGUGUUAUAGCUUUUUACUGGAUUCCGCUUUGGGGACUGAGGAACGCAGUGUGCUUUUAGCAAUACCCUCGGGUAUUUCACACUUAGGAUGCUGGUGGAAUGGCUUUAAACGACCCGUCUUGAAACACGGACCAAGGAGUCUAACAUGCUUGCGAGUAUUUGGGUGUCAAACCCGGAUGCGCAAUGAAAGUGAAUGAAGGUGGGAUCCGCAAGGUGCACCAUCGACCGAUCUGGAUUUUUUAAGAUGGAUUUGAGUAAGAGCAAUUAUGUUGGGACCCGAAAGAUGGUGAACUAUGCCUGAAUAGGGCGAAGCCAGAGGAAACUCUGGUGGAGGCUCGUAGCGGUUCUGACGUGCAAAUCGAUCGUCAAAUUUGGGUAUAGGGGCGAAAGACUAAUCGAACCAUCUAGUAGCUGGUUCCUGCCGAAGUUUCCCUCAGGAUAGCAGAAACUCACAUCAGUUCUAUGAGGUAAAGCGAAUGAUUAGAGGCCUUGGGGUUGAAACAACCUUAACCUAUUCUCAAACUUUAAAUAUGUAGGAAGACCUUGCUACUUAAUUGAGCGAGGUCA